rnacentral:tRNA from 1 species
GUCGGGAUGGCGGAAUUGGCAGACGCCUCAGCCUUAAGAGCUGAUGAGACAUUAGUCUCGUGGGAGUUCGAGUCUCCCUCCCGACA